rnacentral:rRNA from 1 species
UACGUAGGUGGCAAGCGUUGUCCGGAUUUACUGGGCGUAAAGAGCGCGCAGGCGGUCGGAUAAGUCGAAUGUGGAAGCCCCCGGCUCAACUGGGGAGGGUCAUUCGAUACUGUUCGACUCGAAGGCAGGAGAGGGAAGUGGAAUUCCCGGUGUAGUGGUGAAAUGCGUAGAUAUCGGGAGGAACACCAGUGGCGAAGGCGACUUCCUGGCCUGUUCUUGACGCUGAGGCGCGAAAGCUAGGGGAGCAAACGGG